CACCAAAUAGUGGGCGGUAGCAUAGGAAUGCUGCGUGGUGAAAAUGGACAGAGAUCCUGGAGAUACUUUAGUUUUAAAAGGCUGAGAUGUCUAGUAACCUUCGAUUUAUGCUGUAUAGCUGAGGGAAGACUCACGUCCAAAGUUAUCCUGUAAUGGAGCAAAAGAGAGGUUUUUUUUCAACUGUUCCCAUAUUUUCAAUAAGUGAAGAGCAGCCUGAUUACUUAUGUACCAAGGCCAGAUUUAGCACACAGGAGUUCACCAUAUAAGAACUGCUAGGCAAGCAUUAGAAGACAAGACAGGGACAACUGCGAAAUGGGCAUUUCUGUGUGUCAAAGUCAGCAUGAAACAGUAUCCUCUUUGCCUUCUUUGGAAUGGCAUGAUUCACCGAAGUGCACAUGAAAGAAGAGUAUAAAGCCUUGGAAAAUUGCCCGGCACACCUUUGAAGCCAACAGACGGAUGGAAGAUAACGUCAUCUGAUCCGGAAAAUCCUUCCAACGCGAAAAUGGCAGGAUCUACACAUCGGGCUCCCACUCCCAAACUGGGUUUUUGUCAUGGUUUCCUCAUCUGUUAUGCGGCGUAACUCGUCAUUAAAGAAAGCUAAGAUAUUUGUCCUAUGUGAUUUCUUACUGCCGUAUCACUAAGGGUGGGGUAUCGCCUUUUAAUAUCAUAUCUAUAUAGUUCUGGGUUAUGUAACACACUGCAAUUACAAAACAACUUAUUCCAACAAGGGAGCUAGCGCCCCCCACUGGAUACAGAUAUAACCUAACAUUUUACUACUCUGUGUCCAUGUUUGGGAAUAUCUCAAUAGGCUUUUUAGGCAUGGCCAGUGUUUAAAA